ACUGACAGACCCAGCGAGUUUUCACCUUGGCCGGAAAGUCUGGGUAAUCUUGUGAAACUUUGUCGUGCUGGGGAUAGAGCAUUGCAAUUAUUGCUCCUCAACGAGGAAUUCCUAGUAAGCGUGAGUCAUCAGCUCGCGUUGAUUACGUCCCUGCCCUUUGUACACACCGCCCGUCGCUACUACCGAUUGAAUGGAU
rnacentral:rRNA from 1 species